AGCGCUAUGGCAGGAGGCACGGCAGCUACGUCACAAAAGGUGAGGGCGGGGCCAGGCCUCGAGGUGAACUCCUCUGAGCAGCACCAGUAGCGGGCCACAGGCUACAGCAGCCCUUCUGAGCUGUAACUCCGAGUCUGCGUCCUACUUCCUGUCACUUAACCCCUAGACCCUGGAGGUGUGUACCAUCACACAUUCUUCAGAUAAAGAUGGUGGGCUUCUCGAA